UGUUGAUAGAAAUCUGAAGAAUAACAUUUCAUAGAACUUAACCUGCCAGGAAAUUGUCAAGGAGUGUCCUCAAGAUGCAUAUUAUAUAAGAUCGGUGUUACUGAAAAUUUAGUAUCAAGCAAUCCCUGGUAGAGAAAUAAAGCACACGGAAUUGCAAGAACAGACUCACAUCUGAAUUCAGAAUUUUGAAAAUGCGUCCAGUUCCUGUAGCCCUGCUUCUAUGGCUGGUGUUUUUGAUGCUCUUGUCGACUGACUCAGAGGCACUGUACUGUGGGUUUCGAUCAGAUGGUUGUUCAGUUCCAGACGCUCUCUCAUUUAACUUCAAAAAUACGUUUAGACCAGCCUGCGAAAAGCAUGAUCAAUGCUACAUUUGUGGCGCACGUUAUUAUGAAUCAAGAGACGACUGUGACAGAUACUUCCUCAAGAACAUGCGCAGGAUUUGCGGAUCAUUUCGUGGUGUAGCUAACUCGAACUGUCAUUCAGUUGCCAAUAUUUACUACGGCAUGGUUCGAAUGUUUGGGAUGACAUAUUAUAAAACAUGUCCAAGAUAUUACUGCUCAAGGGUCGCCCACUGCAUAAAUUGAAGAUUAUGACUUGGUAUACCAAGUUGUUAUUUUUAUGAAAUUAACAGAUGUUCAAUGAAUUUAAUGAAAUAAAGAACGUCAUACAACACUUGGA